rnacentral:rRNA from 1 species
ACCCUAUCAAACUUUACUUUAGUUUAACUGGGGCAGUUAAUUAAUAAAAAUUUUAAUAAAGAUUAAGUACUAAAUAGANNNCCCAACANUAGUUGAUUACANUGAACAAGUUACUGUAGGGAUAACAGCGUAAUAUAUAUCUAAAGUUCUUAUUUUGAUAUAAGUUUGCGACCUCGAUGUUGAAUUNAUAUUACUUUCAAGCGCAAGAGCCUGAAAAGUGGGUCUGUUCGACCCCUAAAUAUAUACAUGAUUUGAGUUCAAAUCGGUGUAAACCAGAUUGGUUUCUAUCUAUUNUUAUUUGUGUCUUAGUACGAAAGGACCUGAAACAAUAUUAUAUAAUNAUUUAUAUGGCAGAAAAAUGCUUUAGAUUUAGGAUCUAAUUAUAAUAGAUUAUUAUACUCUAUUUAACUUGCCUAAUCUCUGUUAUUAGAAUCCUUAUCGCAGUAGCUUUUUAUACCCUCCUAGAGCGA